CUCAGUGGAGGUCCCUUCCUACCUGAGGCCUUCUAAGGUCCUUCAGCUAGACCUGUGUGUGACAAAGAGCUGAAAUGGCACGGGAUCCUGUCUCAAGCAGCAGUGCAAAUGCACAUCUGGCAUGGAAGGGGCAGUUCCUGAGGAGGCAUGCGCUCGAAGGAAGGUUUUCUAUACAUUGUAUGCAGCUACUCUUGGCUCAUAAUUACAGGCAAAGAGCUAUUUGAGGCAUUCCAGCCUGUUUCUUGUUACCUAAAAUAACUUCAAAGUACCCAUUUAGACCCUCAAAAUGGGUGUGUGUUGCAAGUAUAGCUCUGAAUUACUCCACAGAAAAAUAUGUUCCAGCAGUGCUUGCGCACUGUAAUUGAAGAAGGUGGUCUCUGUAACCCUCCCUUGUGAUGCUUCCCAAAGAGGGUGCUGAAGGUUCAAGCCUGCUCGUUGCUCCUAAGCUCCAUAGAAAAGGACCAAAUAUUUUGUGUCAAUUUCAAGCAACUACCGGUAUGAAGGGGCAGCCAGUUUUGUAUCUUGGUCACUGUUACCGCAACAAAGAAUUAUUUUUCUUUAUCCCACCCUUGAUGCUUUUUUUUCGUGCAGAUCUCUGCUCCAGGAAAUUCCAACCACAUGUGAAUUUCUCUCUAAAAAUCUCUGCAAACAUCCCCUGUAAGACCCACAUGAAGAUCCAUUCUUGCUUCUGAACAGGACACUUGAAGAUAUACGGAAUGCCAUUUUCAAUUGCUUUAGUGCCUGGGAUUUGGUUUGUGGCUAAAAUGCGACUCUCACAUAUUUGGUCUGAAAAUCAUGCCCUGCUUUUUUUCUUCUAAUUUAAGGGAGAAAAGCCUUCCAGAGACCGCCAUGGGAGGGAAGAAAGGAGAAAUAUCUUAUCUGCGUUGGUUGUUUGCUUUUCUCUGGGACUCCCCACUGCAGCAAUGUGGUGGUUGGCUGCUCCGCAGGUCCUUAUCUUUUACAAAUCCACAAGAAUUCCCUUUACGGGCUGUGAAAUCUUCCCACGGAGGAUGAAUUGCCAAGGCAAAGAAAAUGAGCGUGGCUAGAAGAUGGAAGGAAGAAAUCCAUGGCUGUGGCAGGGGGCAAGAUCAGUGCUGGCUUUGUGGGGCUGGGAGGGGACCUUCACACUGUUGUGCUUUGUGUGGGUCGUGCGGAUCUUUGUGGUUGUACACAGCUUUAUUUUCUGAGCUGCACCUUGCUCCAUCUCAGGCCUCCCCCGUGAGGAUUUUACAGCGUUCUGCUGCUUUGCCACCAGCUCCCAGCUGGCAAAUGAGAAAGCUGCUUUCCUCCUCUAGGAUUUUACACCUUGCUGGAGCAUAGACAAGGAGGACAAAUGGGCCAUUUCACGCUGCUGUGCACUAGAAUGGCUGCUCAGCUGGGCGUUCAGGUGUGCCAAAGGGAGGUGGCACAGUGCUGUCAGCAGAGCAGUGCAUGUCCAGUUGUGUUUGGGGCUGCUGCAGGGGUGGGGGUUGGGAGCAGUGGGUAGGCAGAGGAAUGGCAAGGUCUUAGAGGUGUCCUAGGAGUGCUGGAGUACACUACUAAAACACCCACUGGCAUGUUCUACCUUUAGUUGUGCAGUCACUUGAGGCUACUUUUUAGUAUGAGUGAAGUCUUAACUACACUUCUCGGUAUGAAUAUAGAUGGAAAGGAAACUUAAAA